AGCACACUCUGUGUACAGACAUAAGGAGACACAGAUCAUCUGGUUGCUUAAUGGCUCUCCCCUAUUUAUAAAUGGUCUUUUCCAUUAUUCUUUCAGAUCCACACCUUGACAAAUAUCUUUUCUGUCCAAAUUAGUGGGACUUUUCAUUUAGCAAAGUGCUACCAGCGUGUCUCAAUCUAGCCACAACUAAGAGGUACCCCAGGACUGAGAACUGUGUGGGACAACAUCUGAAAGCACCAAGUGCCAAUAUUUCUGGAGGUCAGCACUGCCAAGAGAUGCUGGGAACACCAGGACAAGCCAGAGAUACUACGAAAACAGUGGAUUGGGCAGUCCCUGGAAAGGCUCACCUUCUCUCUGUUCGUCUGGUUUUGGAUUUUUAUGAAGAGUUGCAAAAGCCGAAGGAGAGAACCCGAUUUUCUGUCCGUGAUGGGAAAUCUCCAGGACUAUUCCACACAGCACAGAGCACCUGGAACUGCUUUUAGGACCAUGUAAAAAAAAUGCCCUAGAGAUUUAUUGCUGAGUCGUGGUACCCAGUAAGAAAUUAAAAAUAGUAGCAAGUCCCAGAGUUUACACAGAACGGCUACUUCAAACCC